UUCUAUCAAUUUCUACCUCAAUUAUCUUCUACUUCUAUCAAUUUUUGUCUUUAUUAUCUUCUACUUCUAUCAGAUUGUACCUCAAUUAUCUUCUACUUCUAUCAAUUUCUACCUCAAUUAUCUUCUACUUCUAUCAAUUUUUACCUCAAUUAUCUUCUACUUCUAUCAAUAUCUACCUCAAUUAUCUACUUCUAUCAAUUUAUGUCUUUAUUAUCUUCUACUUUUUAUAUUUUCUACCUCUAUCAUCUUUUAACUCUAUCUUUUACCUCUAUCAUGUUUUAAUUCUAUCAUUUGAAAAUCUAUCCUCUUCUACCUCUAUCUUCUACCCAUACUUGAAAAAGAAAUGUUCAUGUAAAAUGUAUCUGAACAACAAAUGAAAUAAAAGUUCAAGUUUAUCAACAGCGUCUUACUCGUCCAGUACUUAAAGCCCUUUGAUGAGCAUGGACUUCAUAAGUGAGU